rnacentral:rRNA from 1 species
CCUACGGGGGGCAGCAGUGAGGAAUAUUGGUCAAUGGGCGAGAGCCUGAACCAGCCAAGUCGCGUGCAUGAUGACGGCCCUACGGGUUGUAAACUUCUUUUGUCAGGGGGCAAUUGGGUCCACACGUGGGCUUAGGGAGAGUACCUGAAGAAAAAGCAUCGGCUAACUCCGUGCCAGCAGCCGCGGUAAUACGGAGGAUGCAAGCGUUAUCCGGUUUUUUUGGGUUUAAAGGUUGCGUAGGCGGGCUGUUAAGUCAGCGGUAAAAGCCCGGGGUUCAACUCCGGCGAGCCGUUGAAACUGGCUGUCUUGAGAGGUCGUGCGGUAGGCGGAAUGCGCAGUGUAGCGGUGAAAUGCUUAGAUAUUGCGCAGAACUCCGAUUGCGAAGGCAGCAUACCGGCGGCGAUCUGACGCUGAGGCACGAAAGCGUGGGUAUCGAACAGGAUUAGAUACCCUAGUAGUC